rnacentral:rRNA from 1 species
GGGAUAACAGAGUCGUCACUCGCAAGAGCACAUAUCGACCGAGUGGCUUGCUACCUCGAUGUCGGUUCCCUCCAUCCUGCCUGUGCAGACGCAGGCAAGGGUGAGGUUGUUCGCCUAUUAAAGGAGGUCGUGAGCUGGGUUUAGACCGUCGUGAGACAGGUCGGCUGCUAUCUAUUGGGGGUGUAAGGUACUUGCGAGGAACGCUCGUAUAGUACGAGAGGAACUACGAGUGGGUGCCACUGGUGUAUCGGUUGUCCGACAGGGCAGUCGCCGAGCAGCCACGCACCACAGGGUAAGAGCUGAAUGCAUCUAAGCUCGAAACCUCCCUCAAAAAGAAGUACCAGAGAGGAUCCUUCUAAAAGAGAAGGUAGAUAGACUCGGGGUGUACGCAUCGAGGCAACGAGAUGUUGAGCCCGCGAGCACUAACCAUCCAAGCCAUAUCAU